rnacentral:lncRNA from 1 species
GAACAGUCCCUAAUUUAGCAUAUAUAGUCGUGUGGCGUGGUCUGGAGAAAGAGAGGCCAAAUUUAGGAUCGAGUGUCUUCUCUUCCUUGGCCAAAGUUCACAUGUCGAUCAAUCCCACCAUGUAGCUUCGCUUUAUGUCCUCCAUCACAGGUACAUGUCCCUCUUCUCUCCUUUCUUUUAUCUAUCCUUGUUCUUUUCUCUCCUAUAUCUCCUACAUCUAUCCUCUAGAAUUGAUUUUCGUUUUUUAGGGUAUUUUUCCUUCUUUUGUUAUCUUUUAAUUCGGUAAUAAAUCUAAUCUCAGUUUAUUUAUUUGUAAUAUUUGCACCUUAUUCAUUCAUUUGUACUAAAUCAAAUCUGAUUUUGGUUAUAUGUGGUGAUUUUGGUGGUCAAUCAAUUUUUAUUUUGGAUAUAUGUGCACCACAUGUUUGAUGUUUUGUCCAUCUGUUGCAAAAUUUUGAAAUCCUUAUGUUUACAGUCUAAUAUGAUUGUAUACAUAUGUAAAAAGUUUUAUACCUUUAGGUUUGCGUAUUAGGUGUCACAACAAAUAAGUUCCCUAGUUCUCACACAGGUGAAUUUGACAGAUGACAACUACACUAAUAAUAAAACAUAUAUAAUAAACACAAUACAUUAAAUGAUUGUAUAAUGAUUGAGUUAGAAUAUGAACAGUUUUUUUGUACUCUAUUAGUCUCAAAAUGAGUGUCCACAUUUAAAAGUUAGCUUUUAAGAAGAGCUUGAAUAUAGCAUUAUCAACUGCCAAGAUCACAACAUACAGGAUGUAAUCAAGGUUUCAAGCAAUUUUAAAAAUUUAGCCUAGAAAAUGUAUCAUGAUAAGAUUAUAAAGCAAAUGAAGCAAUAUCUCUGACACCUUAUAUACCUUUAAGUUUGGGUAUUAGAUGUCACAACCCCACUGUUCAAAUAAGUUCCCUAGUUCUCACACAGGUGAAUUUGACAAAUGACAACUACACUAGCUGAAUAGAGAAUUCAUGUUCUUUACCUAAUCAACUUUUUGACCUUUUUCCUAAAUAACCUCAUCAUUCUAGUUUUCCCAUUUUUUACAAAUUAAUUGUAAAGUUUUUAUUUUUGUGAUUAAUGCAGAUUAACUACGAAGUUUACACAUGAAUAUUUGCACUUACUCACCAUAUACUGAUUAGAUACAUAUUUCAGUCUUUUGAAGCUUUCGAGUGUCCACAUAGGUACAACAUGAAUAUGGCUUUCCUGUUCAUUCAAUGUGAACCACUGCAUAUCUUCUUUAGGGAGAUCUAAGGAUUCCAAAAGACGCAGCUUUGUAGUAUUGACAUAGAUUUUCUUGCGCAAAACCCGAGCAAACCUCUAUAAAUAGCCUUUCUUUUCCUAUUUUCAAAAAGAAACAAAUGGAAGGAAAAGAAUAAAUGUUUCUGUAGAGAUGAGAAUGUUGUAUAAUAGAAAUUAUGGUACCAGAUAUAUUAUACUGUGGAUGGACCCUCAGUGGGGAGCAAACCCAGAGAGAGAACCUAUUGUAUAGCUACUAAUCAAAAAUAGAGUUCUUGGGUUGAAUGCUUCAGCCUGGAUGACAUCAAUGACAAAUUGAAUAACAGCCUCCUGCUUUGGAAAGUCAUACUGCAAAGAAUAGUUUAUAAACUUCCAUCAUGAUCAUCCAGUAAAAAAAAUGGAAGUAGCUUAAUUAAAAUAUGUACAUGAACAAUUUUUCUCUCUACAUAUAUAGUUAGGAAAGUAGUAGUAACAUGCUCCUGAAAGUAUGAAAACUUAUCUACAGUAAAGAUCGACAAUAAAUCAUAUUUUAUACAAGUGAAUGAACAUACAGGUUUAAAUGAAGGGAGUGUAAUUUAUUUUUUGAAUUUCGAAGAGAUGCUUAUAAUAUAUGUCAUUAUUACAAUUAAAAUGGCAAUCGUAAAAUGUCUUAAGGUGGGAAAAAAUAUCAUGUCAGUCGAAAAAAUAAUAUAGUUACUAUAGAUGCAUAUAUAUAUAUAUAUAUAUAUAUAUAUAUAUAUAUAUAUAUAUAUAUAUUUUNNNNNNNNNNNNNNNNNNNNNNNNNNNNNNNNNNNNNNNNNNNNNNNNNNNNNNNNNNNNNNNNNNNNNNNNNNNNNNNNNNNNNNNNNNNNNNNNNNNNUACAUAUAUAGUUAGGAAAGUAGUAGUAACAUGCUCCUGAAAGUAUGAAAACUUAUCUACAGUAAAGAUCGACGAUAAAUCAUAUUUUAUACAAGUGAAUGAACAUACAGGUUUAAACGAAGGGAGUGUAAUUUAUUUUUUGAAUUUCGAAGAGAUGCUUAUAUUAUAUGUCAUUAUUACAAUUAAAAUGGCAAUCGUAGAAUGUCUUAAGGUGGGAAAAAAUGCCAUGUCGGUCGAAAAAAUAAUAUAGUUACUAUAUAUAUAUAUAUAUUCUACCAAUUCAUGCUGAUUACUGAUUGUGAUUUGCUUUGUUACAAGUUGAUUAUUCUUGGGGUUGUUUUCAUAUUGUUGGACAGUUGGACUAAUUCAAAAACUAAUAGCCUUCUAGCGAGCUAGAAAUAGAUGUAGGGGCAUUUGAAGAAAUAUCUCUUAAUUAUUAUGUAGUUCUUGUAGACUUAUCUGUUACUAUUAGAGGUUACACACUAUAGACUUGUUUUCAGGUUAAUUGUUCAAAUAACUUAGAAAUUGGUUACACAUUUUUGCUGCAAGAAAUCAUUCAUGUGGUCAGAUUACCUUUGGUGCUAAUAAUCACAUGUGCGAAUAACUUUAGUAUGGAAAAUUCUCGAAGGUCUGUUGCUAAUAUUUUGACGUUAUGCCAUGUCUAUAUGUAGAUAUGAUCUGAUUUAAUAGCUUUAUGCUGUGAAGAACCAAAAAAAUGGAAAAAUGACUCCCACCCCUAAGAAUCUAGAACCAUAUUACUGAAAGACAUUUAUUAGUGAAUGUCGUAGAGUAAACCAUUCACCUAUUAGUACCGGCUCUGAUUGUGGUAAUGCACCUCGAACUAGAAAAAGUAUGCUGAACAAAAUUACUUAUUAACAUUUGGAGAGGGUGUAUAACUCUUAAGAUAAUCUCCGAAAGUUUGAGACAAUAAAUUCUAAAGGAGCUGAAUAUUGGGAAUAGAGUACUGAUUCUGUUAUGGUCAACAACAAUGAUUCCAGAAGCAAGGCCUCCUCCUUGCAUUGAUACUAGUAGUAGCUGCAGCUCAUCUACAAUUCUCCAAUUUAUUUUCUUAUGUUUUUCGUUUGGACUCAUGUCCAUCGGUGUUGGAGGAAUCAGGUCAUGUUCUUUAGCCUUUGGAUCUGGUUACAUUAAAGGUCUUGGGUAUGGUCUAAAACCUCCAAGCAGGCGCAUUACAUCAUCUGAUUUAGCUACCCAACAACUCCAAAAGGAACUUCAAGAGAUGCAACAAAAGCUACAAAUGUCUGACUCUCAAGUAAAUGAUCAUAAGACACAAGUGGCUGAAUUUGAGACUGAAGUAUCUGAUCUGAAAACUUAAUUGGUUCAUCAAGGUGAAAAUAUCAACAAACUUAUGGAAAUUAUGGCUGCUAAUGGGAUGAACAUCUAGGUUGAAAAAAAUUAUGUAAGUAAUAAAUACUUUUAAACUUCAAUGAAGCUUUCAAAUGUUGCUUUCCAUUGUUUAUGAGACGAACAUGAUUUUAUAUCUUAUUCUCUAUAUGGGACAAACAUGAUCUUUAUUACUUUGAGUAAUAAAUUUGCUUAUAAAGGUUUGUUAAUGUUCAAUGGAUCUUGAGGCUGGUUGUGUUUAUGGUUUAUGUUCAUAUGAACUCAAUGCAUGAGUAGAAGUUGUCUAGAUAAUAUGCUUUCAAGUUUUCUCUAUAACAUGCACUUAAGCAAUAUAUUUUUUUUGAACUUUUUAUAUGAACAUGAGUUUGAUGAAUUUGAUUUUAUUGGUUCAUUUAUUUUAUUUUAUUGUUCAAAGUUAACUGUUUGAUGAAUUUGAGCUUAAGUUCAUUAGUUGCUUGAUUGCAUUUGACUAAAAUUUUUAUUGUACCAUAUUUAUAGGGCUAAAAAGAUAGGAUAACUUUUUUUAGUAAUGUUAUAGUUAUAGUUCUAGAAAAUUCACAAUUUAUUAUUUAAAUAUUUCUUUCUUUAUAUACUUUUCUGUUUAAAUUUUAUAACCAUUUUACUAAUUUAUGUCUAUAUAUUUUGAUGAAUUUGCAGAUAGAGUUUUUUUGGAAGGUCAAUAACCACAAGGUUGGAGGUUUUAAUUAGGCAUUUUCUUAGGAUAUGGAUGUGAGAAGUUCAGUCUUUUGAAUUAUAUAAUUUGGUUUUGUGGUACUUAGAUUAUUUAAGCAACUAUUCAUUUUAAUUGCUUAGUUGGGUAUUUUGUUGAAUUAGUGAAUCUACUAUAUUUUUUUAUAAGAUAAUUACUUUUUAUUUUAAAUGUUUAUUGUCUUUUGUCUCUUAUAUUAUAUGCAGGUGUAAAGUUGAUUUAAAAAUGUCACUAAAUGUAUUAUAUUUUUUUAUUGAAAAGUGU